UCGGGAAUUUUGGGCAAUGGGCGAAAGCCUGACCCAGCAACGCCGCGUGAAGGAUGAAGUAUUUCGGUAUGUAAACUUCGUAAGAAUAGGAAGAAUAAAUGACGGUACUAUUUGUAAGGUCCGGCUAACUACGUGCCAGCAGCCGCGGUAAUACGUAGGGACCAAGCGUUGUUCGGAUUUACUGGGCGUAAAGUGUGCGCAGGCGGCCGAGCAAGUCGAGUGUGAAAGCCCCGAGCUUAACUUGGGAAUUGCGCUCGAAACUACUUGGCUGGAGUGUGGCAGAGGAGGGUGGAAUUCCACGUGUAGCGGUGAAAUGCGUAGAGAUGUGGAGGAACACCGAUGGCGAAGGCAGCCCUCUGGGCCAACACUGACGCUCAUGCACGAAAGCGUGGGGAGCAAACAGGAUUAGAUACCCCGGUAGUCCCUGAGCGGGCUGGCAAGGCGCAU
rnacentral:rRNA from 1 species